rnacentral:rRNA from 1 species
UACGAAGGGGGCUAGCGUUGCUCGGAAUCACUGGGCGUAAAGCGCACGUAGGCGGACUCUUAAGUCAGGGGUGAAAUCCUGGAGCUCAACUCCAGAACUGCCUUUGAUACUGAGAGCCUUGAGUCCGGGAGAGGUGAGUGGAACUGCGAGUGUAGAGGUGAAAUUCGUAGAUAUUCGCAAGAACACCAGUGGCGAAGGCGGCUCACUGGCCCGGUACUGACGCUGAGGUGCGAAAGCGUGGGGAGCAAACAGG